AACGAACGCUGGCGGCAUGCCUAAUACAUGCAAGUCGAACGAGAUCUUCGGAUCUAGUGGCGCACGGGUGCGUAACGCGUGGGAAUCUGCCCUUGGGUUCGGAAUAACUUCUGGAAACGGAAGCUAAUACCGGAUGAUGACGUAAGUCCAAAGAUUUAUCGCCCAAGGAUGAGCCCGCGUAGGAUUAGCUAGUUGGUGGGGUAAAGGCCCACCAAGGCGACGAUCCUUAGCUGGUCUGAGAGGAUGAUCAGCCACACUGGGACUGAGACACGGCCCAGACUCCUACGGGAGGCAGCAGUAGGGAAUAUUGGACAAUGGGGGAAACCCUGACACAGCAAUGCCGCGUGAGUGAUGAAGGCCUUAGGGUUGUAAAGCUCUUUUACCCGGGAUGAUAAUGACAGUACCGGGAGAAUAAGCUCCGGCUAACUCCGUG
rnacentral:rRNA from 1 species